rnacentral:rRNA from 1 species
CCUACGGGAGGCAGCAGUGAGGAAUAUUGGUCAAUGGACGCAAGUCUGAACCAGCCAUGCCGCGUGCAGGAAGACGGCUCUAUGAGUUGUAAACUGCUUUUGUACGAGGGUAAACGCAGAUACGCGUAUCUGUCUGAAAGUAUCGUACGAAUAAGGAUCGGCUAACUCCGUGCCAGCAGCCGCGGUAAUACGGAGGAUUCAAGCGUUAUCCGGAUUUAAUGGGUUUAAAGGGUGCGUAGGCGGUCGGAGAAGUUAGAGGUGAAAUCCCGAGGCCCAACUUCGGAACUGCCUCUGAUACUGUUCGGCUAGAGAGUAGUUGCGGUAGGCGGAAUGUAUGGUGUAGCGGUGAAAUGCUUAGAGAUCAUACAGAACACCGAUUGCGAAGGCAGCUUACCAAGCUACUUCUGACGUUGAGGCACGAAAGCGUGGGGAGCAAACAGGAUUAGAUACCCUAGUAGUC